GACGAACGCUGGCGGCGUGCUUAACACAUGCAAGUCGAGCGGUAAGGCCCUUUCGGGGGUACGACGAGCGGCGAACGGGUGAGUAACACGUGGGUGACCUGCCCUUAGCUCUGGGAUAAGCCUGGGAAACUGGGUCUAAUACCGGAUAUGACUCCAUAACGCAUGUUGUGGGGUGGAAAGCCUUGUGCGGCUAGGGAUGGCCCGCGCUAUCAGCUUGUUGGUGGGGUGAUGGCCACCAAGGCGACGACGGGUAGCCGGCCUGAGAGGGCGACCGGCCACACUGGGACUGA
rnacentral:rRNA from 1 species